GAUGAACGCUGGCGGCGUGCCUAAUACAUGCAAGUCGAGCGAACGGACGAGAAGCUUGCUUCUCUGAUGUUACCGACGGACGGGUGAGUAACACGUGGAUAACCUACCUAUAAGACUGGGAUAACUUCGGGAAACCGGAGCUAAUGCCGGAUAAUAUUUUGAACCGCAUGGUUCAAAAGUGAAAGACGGUCUUGCUGUCACUUAUAGAUGUAUCCGCGCUGCAGUAGCUAGUUGGUAAGGUAACGGCGUACCAAGGCAACGAUGCAUAGCCGACCUGAGAGGGUGGUCGGCCAGACUGGAACGGAGACACGGUCCAGACUGCGACGGGAGGCAGAAGUAGGGAAUAGUCCGCAAUGGGCGAAAGCCUGACGGAGCAACGCGGCGGGAGUGAUGACGGUCUUCGGAUCGUAAAACUCUGUGAUUAGGGAAGAACAUAUGUGUAAGUAACUGUGCAUAUCUUGACGGUACCUAAACAGAAAGCCACGGCUAACUACGUG
rnacentral:rRNA from 1 species